CUUGAAGGUGGUUUAUUGAGGACUUUAGUUUCUAUUUUCAUUAUAUAUGAGACGCAACAUAUUUGAGAUGGAAAUUCAAUUAAGAUACAGCAUAUUUGCAGUGGAAGUGCAAUCUGAUUGAAUAUUUCAUCUUCAUUUUCUAUGUAUUUUGCAUUUGUUUAUGUACAAAUUAAUUUUAUGCAUAUUGCUUGCUACUUGAAACGAAUGAUUUUUACAUUUUUAGUGAGGCAACAACUAAUUUGUUCUGGUGCAUUUAGUUCUACUUGAUUAUAUCAUGUCAUAUUACUUCAUACUCUCUUUAUGUUAUACACCUUCGAUAGAUUUUAAUGGUGAAAUUUGUGUUCUUUCUGUAAUGCAAUGAUGUAGGCCCUUGCAUGAAAUUACUUUUUCAACUGAUGACAAGCCAAAACUUCUUAGUCAGGUAAGAUAGGUAUGCUUGUUAGAGUAUGCAAAUUGCCCUUAAUAAUGUUUUACCAUAGUUUGAUUGACUUGGGAAAGUCAAAGUGUAGGCCCUUGCAGGAAUUUACUUUCAGUAUGUAUUUUUAAUGAUUGCAAAUGUAGUUUAGUAUUUAUUUCACUUGUUGAUUUUGUCAGCUAGCAGCUGAGGUGGCUGGUGAUGUUGCAUGUCAAAUAGCUCAAAUUACUUGUGAGCAACAAGAGGGUGCCUGAUAUUGUAAUUUGGAAAUUAAUAAUUUAAAUAACCACAUUUAGGAUCUGCCUGGCAUUGUUGUUGUUAGUGCAGUCAAGAAAAACUUCCUCAAAAGUAUACUGAUUGCAAGCAAUUAAAAAUUGAUUUGAAGGUAUUUUCCUCAUGUUUUGGCAACAGAAACCCUAACACAGCUCAAAUACAGUUAGGAAUUACUUUUUGGAAAGCAUUUGAAAGGGUGUUUUCCCAAAAAGCAGUUCAGAUGCAUGCGAAAUGGGCAUCUGGCUAUUAUUUCAAUGAAGCUGCUGCUUAUUGAGAUUGAUUAAUCUUAAAAGAGAUCACAUAUAACUAUCUUCCCUUGAUUAAUUUUAAUGAAACCAACAUAUAACAAUCUUCCCUAUCUGACAUGUGUAGUAUAAAUUUUUUCUCCGAUUCCUUUUCUUGAUUCAUGCAGUUAUAGAUCUUGUGCAAAAUUCGCAGUUGACUUCGUUACUUGCUGAGAUUGGGUUGAACAUCCAAGAAGCACAUGCUUUCUCCACAGUUGAUGGCUACUCCUUGGAUGUCUUUGUUGUUGAUGGUUGGCCAUAUGAGGAAACAGAGCAGCUUAGAAUUGCAUUGGAAAAGGAAGUUUUUAGGAUUGAGAAGCAGAAUUGUUCGAAUCAUCAUUCAUUAUCACAUAAUGAUAAGCAUGAGCAAACCCAAAUCAAAUAUGAUCCUGAACAUGUGGCAAUACCUAAUGAUGGAACUGAUGUCUGGGAAAU
rnacentral:misc_RNA from 1 species